AACCUUCUGUAUCCGUGCUGAGAUUUCGUCACACACCAGACCACAAGGGC
rnacentral:pre_miRNA from 1 species